AAGGGCAAGCGCUUGGCGUUCC
rnacentral:misc_RNA from 1 species